UUCGGCUCGAUCUCCCACCCUUUGUGACAUACCUCUGUUGCUUUGGCGGCUCUUUGCCGCGAGGAGGCCCUCGCGGGCCCCCCCGCGCGCUUUCUGCCAGAGGACCUUCAAACUCCAGUCAGUAAACGUCGACGUCUGAUAAACAAGUUAAUAAACUAAAACUUUCAACAACGGAUCUCUUGGUUCUGGCAUCGAUGAAGAACGCAGCGAAAUGCGAUAAGUAAUGUGAAUUGCAGAAUUCAGUGAAUCAUCGAAUCUUUGAACGCACAUUGCGCCCCCUGGCAUUCCGGGGGGCAUGCCUGUUCGAGCGUCAUUACAACCCUCAAGCUCUGCUUGGUAUUGGGCGCCGUCCUCUCUGCGGACGCGCCUUAAAGACCUCGGCGGUGGCUGUUCAGCCCUCAAGCGUAGUAGAAUACACCUCGCUUUGGAGCGGUUGGCGUCGCCCGCCGGACGAACCUUCUGAACUUUUCUCAAGGUUGACCUCGGAUCAGGUAGGGAUACCCGCUGAACUUAAGCAUAUCAAUAGGCCGGAGGAAAGUUCUCGGGCUUCGGCUCGAAUCUCCCACCUUUGUGAACAUACCUCUGUUGCUUGGCGGCUCUUGCCGCGAGGAGGCCCUCGCGGGCCCCCGGGCGCUUUCUGCCGAGGACUUCAAACUCGUCAGUAAACCUUCCACUCGGAUAAACAGUUAAUAAACUAAAACUUUCACAACGGACUUUUGGUCUGGCAUCAUAAAGACGCACGGAAUGCAUAGUUAUGUGAUGUGCAGAAAUCAUGGAAUCUCAUCUUGACGCAAUGGCCCCGGCAUUCCGGGGGCAUGCGUUCAGCGCGAUUCACCUAGGCUGCGUGGGUAUGGGGGCGCUCUCUCGCGGAGCCCUUAAGACCUCGGUGUCGUUAUCACUACGGUGUAGUA
rnacentral:rRNA from 1 species